GAUUGCAUAUGGCCGGUGUCAGAGUUCUUGCUAGUUUCGUGGCAAUUUUCUCCUGGAAUCGAGAUUAGAAGGGAACCUCUCAUGACAACAAAGUGGUGGAGAAAACUCAUAGGCCAAAUCCCUUCGAGGUCAUUUUAAAUCAAGCAGAACAAAAUCAGGAAAGGAAAGAUCGCUACUUAGUCAGCCCCUCCAUUGCUCAGCAGAAGGCAGCAAAGGCAUUAAAGAAAAAGUGUUGGAUUUGUCGACCACUUCAAUAUUAAUAGGCUAUGCAGAUGGAUUCGAUGGUCCCGUUGCCCGAUCAAUAGAGAUAGGGGUGUAACAGGCAACGCCCCCAACCCGUAGACAGUUUGGCCUUUGGCCAUGAAAAGUUACUAAAUGAUUUCUUUAUAUUAUUAAUUUUUUAUUGGGUUUAGGUUUACAAAUAAAUUUUUU